CCUACGGGGGGCAGCAGUGAGGAAUAUUGGUCAAUGGACGAGAGUCUGAACCAGCCAAGUAGCGUGAAGGAUGACUGCCCUAUGGGUUGUAAACUUCUUUUAUAUGGGAAUAAAAUGUUCCACGUGUGGGAUUUUGUAUGUACCCUAUGAAUAAGGAUCGGCUAACUCCGUGCCAGCAGCCGCGGUAAUACGGAGGAUCCGAGCGUUAUCCGGAUUUAUUGGGUUUAAAGGGAGCGUAGGUGGAUUGUUAAGUCAGUUGUGAAAGUUUGCGGCUCAACCGUAAAAGUGCAGUUGAAACUGGCAGUCUUGAGUACAGUAGAGGUGUGCGGAAUUCGUGGUGUAGCGGUGAAAUGCUUAGAUAUCACGAAGAACUCCGAUUGCGAAGGCAGUUCACUGGACUGCAACUGACACUGAGGCUCGAAAGUGUGGGUAUCAAACAGGAUUAGAUACCCGAGUAGUC
rnacentral:rRNA from 1 species